rnacentral:rRNA from 1 species
AUACGUAGGUGGCAAGCGUUGUCCGGAAUUAUUGGGCGUAAAGCGCGCGCAGGUGGUUCCUUAAGUCUGAUGUGAAAGCCCCCGGCUCAACCGGGGAGGGUCAUUGGAAACUGGGGAACUUGAGUGCAGAAGAGGAUAGUGGAAUUCCAAGUGUAGCGGUGAAAUGCGUAGAGAUUUGGAGGAACACCAGUGGCGAAGGCGACUGUCUGGUCUGUAACUGACACUGAGGCGCGAAAGCGUGGGGAGCAAACAGGAUUAGAUCCCCUGGUAGUCCACGCCGUAAACGAUGAGUGCUAAGUGUUGGGGGGUUUCCGCCCCUCAGUGCUGCAGCUAACGCAUUAAGCACUCCGCCUGGGAAGUACGGUCGCAAGACUGAAACUCAAAUGAAUUGACGGGG